rnacentral:rRNA from 1 species
GAAACAGUGGCUAAGACUGGAUAGGAAGAAAUAAGGCAUCUUUUUUCUUUUAAAAGACCUAGUGAUAGGUAUACUUUAGGAGGGGCUUGCGCCAUAUUAGUUAGUUGGUAGGGUAAUGGCCUACCAAGACGAUGAUGUGUAGCUGGACUGAGAGGUUGAACAGCCACAUUGGGACUGAGACACGGCCCAAACUCCUACGGGAGGCAGCAGUAGGGAAUUUUCGGCAAUGGAGGAAACUCUGACCGAGCAACGCCGGCGUGAACGACGAAGUACUUUGGUAUGUAAAGUUCUUUUAUCAAGGAAGAAAAGCAAGUGGUGAACCAUUUGUUUGCCGGUACUUGAUGAAUAAGCCCCGGCUAAUUAUGUGCCAGCAGCCGCGGUAAGACAUAAGGGGCAAGUGUUAUCCGGAAUUAUUGGGCGUAAAGGGUGCGUAGGCGGUCUAGUAAGUCAGUGGUGUAAUGGCAACGCUCAACGUUGUCCGGCUAUUGAAACUGCUAAACUUGAGUUAGAUAGAGGCGAGUGGAAUUCCAUGUGUAGCGGUAAAAUGCGUAAAUAUAUGGAGGAACACCAGAGGCGUAGGCGGCUCGCUGGGUCUUAACUGACGCUGAGGCACGAAAGCGUGGGGAGCAAACAGGAUUAGAUACCCUGGUAGUCCACGCCGUAAACGAUGAGUACUAAGUGUCGGGUUAAACCGGUACUGAAGUUAACACAUUAAGUACUCCGCCUGAGUAGUACGUACGCAAGUAUGAAACUUAAAGGAAUUGACGGGACUCCGCACAAGCGGUGGAUCAUGUUGUUUAAUUCGAAGAUACCCGAAAAACCUUACCAGGUCUUGACAUGUUUUUGCGAAACGGUAGUAAUAUCGUGGAGGUUAUCAGAAACACAGGUGGUGCAUGGUUGUCGUCAGCUCGUGUCGUGAGAUGUUAGGUUAAGUCCUAAAACGAGCGAAACCCUUAUCGUUAGUUGCCAGCACGUUAUGGUGGGGACUUUAACGAGACUGCCAGUGAUAAAUUGGAGGAAGGUGAGGAUCACGUCAAAUCAGCAUGCCCCUUAUGACCUGGGCUACAAACGUGAUACAAUGGCUGUUACAAAGGGUAGCUGAAACGCAAGUUCUUGGCCAAUCCCCAAAAACAGUCUCAGUCCGGAUUGAAGUCUGCAACUCGACUUCAUGAAGUUGGAAUCGCUAGUAAUCGCGAAUCAGCAUGUCGCGGUGAAUACGUUCUCGGGGUUUGUACACACCGCCCGUCA